CGCUGUCAGAGCAAUGAUUUAAUGUUUUGUGGAACGGUAUUUAUAAGACCUAUUCGGGCAAUUGUUGUAACUCAACUUCACGUGCGAAUAUUUCUUAGAAAACGAAUGUUAUCUGCUAUCUCUCUUAAAAACGUAAUCAUUUAUAUGAAGAACUUUUUAUUUUUAUAGCACGGACAAUGUCAUUAUUUCAAUAUUCCAAUUGGAUAUCAUAUACCUUUCAAGAAAUUGCAUUCGCGAUCGACUUUUCAUGGUAGUUAUAAUCGACAAUCGAAAUGUUGAAUCUGAAUUGUUCAUUAUAUAACUUUCCUAUUCUGCAUGUAUAUCUUCAUGUUCCUGAAAAAAAAUCUACACAUGAUAAAAACUCUGAAUACUAGCAAAGCUGAGAACGCGAGUGUCAUCAUUAGUACAAUCGCGACUAAUAUCUCCGCUUUAUGUAGGUUAUCUCGCUUAUGUUAGUUACGCCCGACUCUUAGAAUUUAGGUUGGCCAUAUGGUGUAUGAAAUCGUCGCGUUUCUUUCUUAGCUUGGUUAUUAAUAUCUCUGUCUCGUCAGGGCGAGUUCGAGUCGCCCCGCCGAUCGAACCGAUCGCUCGAUAUGUAUGACACUUUUCAAAAAUGCGUGCUUAUAUAUUACUUAUGCAUAUCUUUACGACUCAUAAAGAUAUACAUAUUUUCGAGGUGGUUUUUGAGAUAUUGAUAAACAGACAUUCUUUUCUUUCGUAAAAUAUAUUAAUAGUUUGAAAAUGAGAGUUCUAUGAGUUUAAAGUAAAAAAGUGCUUGUUUUAAAGUAAAAAAGUGGAGACUAAGAUAAACACUUUUUAAGUUCCCGACAAAAAAAUCAUAUUUUCUUUUGGAUUCUAAUCAAGCUAAGGACGAGUCAUUAUUAGUUUGAUCAAAAAUACAUGUACACUGAAACGCGCAUAAUUAUAAAUUUGUUGUAUUUUCGCAAUGACUCCUUUUUCACUUCCUGUUUUACACUGACGCGUUCCCACGCGUGGCGGAUCGAAGUUUUACAGUGAUGACACGCCGAACGCGAUCGUACCUCAUCAAUUCAGAGAGCUAUACAAGCGACGCGAGAUUUAUGCGGCGUUAACUAGGCACUGCAUGGCAUAAUCCACUCAUGAGAACACUCUCGUUAACCUUUUUAUGCUGCUACAGCGAUUUGCGUAUCUUUGGAAUGUUCUCGUACUGAUUAUCCAGAUUGCGCAGCAGCUAGCCAUAAUUAAGUAGCAGCCUGCUUAAUUAAGUUUAAUUAGGGAUCCUGAUUUUCUCAUGUCUCGGCACACCUGUUUAAUAUACGCAGAUCCGCUCAAAACUAUAAAUAAUAUGAUCUCAAAAUCUAUAAAAACAAGCGCUGUAAUAUAAAUGAAAUAGAUAUAUCCAUGUAAUUCAACUUAUAAGAACUUUAGUAAAUCAUUCAAAUUCAAAAUUGUGUGGAAAUUCAACGGAAAGGUACAGUUUAUAUAAUAAAUAUCUGCGCAA